UAAUAAUAAUAAUAAUUUCUCCCUCACAGUAAUACGUAGAACAGAUCAAGAGUACCCGAAUUAAUCUGUUGCACUAGCGUCUAUAUAAUAGACUUCACUGCAUCAUUAUUUUUAAGUGUGCAAAAAUAUUACCCAAUUAGCUACUCAAUAUUAAGAUCUCACUUAGAAUUAAGGUUCUGAUUUGUUAAAUGUGUAUUUUGCUUAUCUAUUUAUUUUUAAAGACUUAUAAAGUCUUAUAACCUAUAUGCAUGUUAUUGAUUUCAGUGUUCACCAUAUUAAAAAAAAAAAAAAAAAAAAGUUCUACUACGCUUAAUAAUCGCCGCGGGGGGCCAUAGCGUGUGAGCCUUUCGCCUAAACACUGUUGAGUAAGAUAAUUAUCAGCUGUCGUAAGAGUGAGAGAGAACAGCGUCGGCGCUUUGAAUCACCUUCUCAUGAAUGCUUUGCUUGUUUCUCUUACCUCACUCGUCUUACUCACCUCCAGGCGCGCUUUUUUUAUUUCAGGAAUCUGAAAGUCUGAAACACAACGUGAGAAAAAACAGGAGUGGAUUCCCGGAACUGGAUUCCUGAAGAUGGCUGCGCUGUGUAACACAUCUAGUAGUGAAAUAAAGUGAACGGAGGCAAGACCAAUCAGACAGAGUCUACAGGAAAAUACUCGGAAAUACUUGUGUCUUAUUGGCUGACAGCUCUCAAUUCUGCCAAAUGCUAGCUCAAACAGUCAGUGUGAAUGAAAAUGGAUAUGGUAAACAUUUGAUGUCCGCACGCAAUCCUCAGAGAGUCUCCUCCCCCCACCUUCUCCGGCUUACUCACUCUGGCGUUUACCACCCCCCCAUACACACACACACACACACACACACACAGACUCACGCUAUCGCAUGCUCCCCAUUCUUCGCACAUUCUUCUUGCUCUGACUCAGCACCUGCUGAGUGCUUCGACUUGGUUCUUGCCGAGCCGUUACAUGCGCUUUUUACUGAUGUAGGACCAUUACCUGUUUAAUCUAGAUUUCAUUAUCAUUAUUUAAAAUGAAAAAAUAAAAUAAAAUGAUAGAUUUAAAAAAAAAAAGAAAAGCAUUUUCAAUUAUAUACAAGAACACAAACUGGGUAAACAGAUGUCAGUGUGAAAUAACUUACUUCUUCUCUAUCUCACGAUUUUACAAUGUAAUUGUGAAAGCAAAGGAACAAACUCACUCCACUUCUGUAUCGAUUUGUGUCUAAGCACUUACACAUUAAUUUUCUAUAAUAACAGGUCACUUAGUCCCAGGUAAAAGGAUCUACCUCCUCUUGAUCCCAACCAAACACAUUUUCUCUCAUUAAUAGUCUUUCUCCCUAUCUGGGUAUUUACUCAACAAAACUAACAAAUUCUUUGUUCAUAAUAUAAAUUCAUACCAACUUCUAUUUUCAGAAAUUCCUCAAUAUUCCCUGAUUCUCUAAGACUCUAAGAUUCUCUUGUUUCCUUCCUCACUUUAAACAAAUCCUCUGCUGACAUUCAUUCUAAAAGCUAUCUGCAAGUAUCUGCUGUGUAGCUUUGGUGGUUAAGACAUUGGACUACUGACCAGAAGGUUGUGAAUUCAAAUCCCAGAACAACAAAGCUGUUGCUGCUGGACCCUGGAGCAAGGCCCUUAACUGCUCAGAUGUAUAAAAAUUAGAUAACUAUAAGUCGGUCUGGAUAAUGGUGUCUACCAAAUGCCGUAAAUGUAAAUUAACGUUUCAGAUCCAUAUGUUAUUUAGACCAACAAUGCCAAACCUAAAUCAAGUAAAGCAACAAAGCUUUGACUUAACCAAAAGCUAAAACAAAAAUUGUUCAACAAUCUAAGGGUGACAGGUAUACAGAGGCUAGUACCAAAUGGCAAGGGGUAGUUUUACUUUGUGGCACAUAAAACCCUGGUUCUAUUCCAGAGAGACACCCGUCAUGCACACAGCAGCUGCAAUCAAUUUCACUUGCGAUCACAUACGACUUCUGUCAUUUGUAAUAAAGGAAUGAGGAAGCGAGCCAGUGAAUUUCACACCACACAAACCGCAAGGCACACGUCUGAUGACAGCACAAGACCACAACUCCAAGACACCAAAGAAAAACAGGAUAAUGCUCAGAGUUUUCCUUUUUUUUUUUUAUUUUUUAAAGUAAUCUUAAUUCUCCAAAUGCCAAAAAAAAAAUGCUCCACUUUAUGGAACUGCUUUUCACUAUCCUCUAUGACUCAAGCAUGGAAUGAGGCGAAUGCACAUAUGAAACCUGCGGUCAGUGCUGUCCACAUUGUAGCUUUCAUUCCUGCAUUGACUGUGAAGAGGUGAUGAAACUGAAACACUAUCCAACUCACAACCACACACUCUGAAAUACUGAUACCAAGCCAUAUGUCAGCGAAAUCAGCUCCAGCACAGUGAAAUAUGCUCAGCAAAAAAAAGGAAUGUCCCUUUUUCAGGAGUCUUUAUUUUAAAGAUAAUUUUGUCAAAUCCAAAUAAGCUUUACAGAUCUUUAUUGGAAAGGGUUUAAGCAAUGUUUUUCAUGCAUGUUCACUGAACCAUAAACAAUGAUUGCACAUGCACCUGUGGAACAGUCCUUAAGACACGAACAGUUUACAGGCGGUAGGCGAUUAAGGCCACAGUUACAAUACCUUAGGGCCCUUAAGAGACUUUUCUACUGACUCUGAAAAACACCAGAAGACAGUAAGACAGUGCUACAGGGAGACAGGAAGGACAGCUUAUCGUCCUUGCAGUGGAAAAUUACAUGUAACCAUAUGUCCCCUCAGACGUGAUAGAGAACUUACAAAUGCUUUGGUGGAAGAGUGGGGUAACCUCUCACAGCAUGAACUGACAAAUCUGGUGCAGUUCAUGAGGAUGAGAUGCACUGUAGUACUUAAAGCAGCUGGAGGCCACACCAGACACUGACUGUUACUGUUGAUAUCGACCCCACCUUUUUUCAGGGACUCAUUAUUCAAUUUCUGUUCAUCAAAUGUCUGCUAAACCUGUUCUCAGUUAUUUUGUAUGUUUUUAUGUUAAUACAAAUAUUUACACAUGUGAAGGAAUUUGCUGAAAAUAAAAGCAGUUGAAUGUGAGAGGAGGUUUCUUUUUUUG